rnacentral:tRNA from 1 species
AAGGCCUUAGCUUAAUUAAAGCGUUUGAUUUGCAUUUAAAGGAUACAGGUUAAUAUCCUGUAGGUCUUA